GAUGAACGCUGGCGGCGUGCCUAAUACAUGCAAGUCGAGCGAACGGACGAGAAGCUUGCUUCUCUGAUGUUAGCGGCGGACGGGUGAGUAACACGUGGAUAACCUACCUAUAAGACUGGGAUAACUUCGGGAAACCGGAGCUAAUACCGGAUGAUAUUUUGAACCGCAUGGUUCAAAAGUGAAAGACGGUCUUGCUGUCACUUAUAGAUGGAUCCGCGCUGCAUUAGCUAGUUGGUAAGGUAACGGCUUACCAAGGCAACGAUGCAUAGCCGACCUGAGAGUGUGAGCGGCCACAGUGGAACUGAGACGCGGUCGAGACUCACACGGGGGGCAGAAGGGGGAAAUCUGCCGAAAUGGGCGAAAGCCUGACGGAGCAACGCCGCGUGAGAGAUGAAGGUCGUCGGAUCGUAAAACUCUGUUAUGAGGGAAGAACAUGUGUAAGUAACUGUGCACAUCUUGACGGUACCUAAUCAGAAAGCCACGGCUAACUACGUG
rnacentral:rRNA from 1 species